UUAUAUUUUUCAGUGUGUUUGAUGUAGGGAGUUAAUAUGUUUAUGUUGUAAUACCUCAUUUUAACCUGUUGAAAAUCAACCUAUUCAAAACAAGAAAGUUUAAAUUCAAUACACGACAAUCACAUUUGACAGAUUACCAACAUUAAAAUAGAAAAUAUACCAUUGACAGUUUCAACAUAACCUAAAAUAUAAUAAAAAGUGAUGUAUGAUAGCACAUGUUUAGAGAUUAACAUUUUAAUAGUGAAUUAAUUCAAUAAAGUAUCACAUACAUGUUUAGUUGUUCAAAAAAUUGACGAACUCCUGAAGAUGCUCCGAAAAGAGCGAAACCGGUAGAGUGAUAAUAAACACAUUUCACCUUUAA